GACGAACGCUGGCGGCGUGCUUAACACAUGCAAGUCGAACGAUGAUCUCCCGCUUGCGGGGGUGAUUAGUGGCGAACGGGUGAGUAAUACGUUAGUAACCUGCCCUUGACUCUGGGAUAAGCCCGGGAAACCGGGUCUAAUACUGGAUACUACUUCCUGCCGCAUGGUGGGGGUUGGAAGGGGUUUUACUGGUUUUGGAUGGGGUCACGGCCUAUCAGCUUGUUGGUGGAGUAAUGGCUCACCAAGGCGACGACGGGUAGCCGGCCUGAGAGGGUGACCGGCGACACUGGGACUGAGACACGGGCCAGACUCCGACGGGAGGCAGCAGUGGGGAAUAUUGCACAAUGGGCGGAAGCCUGAUGCAGGGACGCCGCGUGAGGGAUGACGGACUUCGGGUUGUAAGCCUCUUUCAGCAGGGAAGAAGCCACAAGUGACGGUACCUGAAGAAGAAGCGCCGGCUAACUACGUG
rnacentral:rRNA from 1 species